rnacentral:rRNA from 1 species
GACGAACGCUGGCGGCGUGCUUAACACAUGCAAGUCGAGCGGUAAGGCCCUUUCGGGGUACGACGAGCGGCGAACGGGUGAGUAACACGUGGGUGACCUGCCCUCAGCUCUGGGAUAAGCCUGGGAAACGUAGGGUCUAAUACUGGAUAUGACUCCAGGUGCAUGUCGUGGGGUGGAAAGCCUUGUGCGGCUGAGGAUGGGCCCGCGGCCUAUCAGCUUGUUGGUGGGGUGAGGCCUACCAAGGCGACGACGGGUAGCCGGCCUGAGAGGGCGACCGGCCACACUGGGACUGAGACACGGCCCAGACUCCUACGGGAGGCAGCAGUGGGGAAUCUUGCGCAAUGGGCGAAAGCCUGACGCAGCGACGCCGCGUGAGGGAUGACGGCCU